AUUAGGGAGGAGCCACGAACUGAAAAACAUAUGUAGCACUAGUUGGAGAUCUCGCCUAGCUACGGACCACCCGGGAGUCGCGAUAGCCCAGCAACCAUGACCUCAAGAUCGUGGUAACUACUCGGAUAACCUCGAGGUCGAGAGAGCGGCUUCGAUCCACGCCGAGGUCGAGCCACUAGCCACGGACCACCCCGGAGCUAAGGGAUUCGUCACAGGCUACUCGAGAACAGAGGACCGUGGGUGAGCUUCAAGGCGAUUAGAUUUAAACCAUUCAACGGAAAAAUUAGUGGAGCCCACGAGGACAUCGAUUCAUCGAGACGGCUGAAGGGGCCGAUGCCUUUCAGUGGCAAUGACCCGCGAAAUUGCUUUACGCAAUCGGCCAUUAUGCGUCUGAAAAUUUCGCGAGGCAUUCGAGAUCAACCCGCCGUUUGAUGUGAUACGAAUAUUAUAUAUUGUUCAUUGUCGGCCACGUUUGAUUGCACCGAUCGCGCAAUUAUCGAUGCCCCUCUUGCCCUGUAAUAAAAUUCAACCGCACGCAUCUGCACAGGGAUCUAUCUACUGGAACGCAUGAUGCGUAAACGUACCCAACAAACUGUUUUGAAACGUGUUGGAAUGCCGAAUGCCGGAAACCAGAUGAUCGAGGAAAAAGCAGCAGGGCGAUAAUGCACACUUAAAUAGUUAUUUCAUAA
rnacentral:misc_RNA from 1 species